GCUCUUGUCAUGAGCUGCCAAGGCUAUGGAAGACUCCUGAGUUCACCAGCUCCAAUCUUAUUUAGACAAGGCCAUAUUCAAAAUGGAAGUUUUCUCCUCCCUUCAGAGAAAGUAAAUAUAAACUUCCAAAGUACAUCUUAUGGAUUACAAGAUUACAAGAGGACUUAAAUGAGAGAUCUCUGCGAGUAAGAUCCCAGUAGAAAGAAUGGGCCAUCAAAGAAGGAGGUACCUUUCUCUGAAGGGAGGAGUGAAUUUCCACUUUGACUAUGACAUUGUCCAAAUAAGAUCAAUGUCCACGAACUCAAAAGGCUUCCAUAGCCUUGGCAACUCAUGACAAGAGCCUAGGGUGAUUACUGAUGCCAUAAACAAGAGUGUCAAUUGUUAAGUCAACAACAGGAGUCACUGUACACUUACUCCUCAGGCAGAGUGACAGAGAGAAGGAGAUCUUCCAUCUGUUGGUUCACUCCCCAAAUGGCUGUGACAGUCAGGCCUGGGCCAGACUGAAACCAAGAGCCAGGAACUCCAUUCAGGUUUUCCACAUGGGUGCAGAAGUCCAGAUUCCUGCUAAUGUGCACCCUGGAAGGCAGAAGAUGGUGGCUCAAGCACUUGGGUCCAUGCCACCCAUGUAGAACUGGAUGGAGUUCCCAGAUUCUGGCUUCAGCCUGGUCCAGCCUGAGAUGUUGAUUGUGUGUGUGUGUGUGUGUGUACUAAUAAAUUAUAAUUCUAUGAAAAUGUCCAACCAGAAGUCAUCUUACCUCGUGGAGAGAAACUGUAGGAAAAUCCUUACACUGAGAAUUAGCAGCCAAUGUCAUUGCAAAGUUUCUAACACACUAAUGCUCAUUGCUGACAUGGAACAUUCUGGAGCCUCUCUACAUUAGGAAACAACUUCAUCUACCACAAGUAAACCUUGCCCUUUAAAUCAUUAGGAAUCACAGUAGCCACCACAGUUUUGUAACCUUCUCACUUCUCUUUCCACCUUCCUGCUUUCCCCUUCAUUUGCAGGCUACAGAAAAACAGAGCUCCUAUUCCUUAAUCUCAGCAAAAUCGUAUGUAUUCUUGUCCAUCACACAGGAAAGGGAACAUACAGAUGUAAUUUCAAUCUUGAUCUUCCAUUAGCAAUGUAUUUAAUUAGGCAAGUAGCUCUGUAAUCGUCAUUUUAAACCAGGCUGACUUUUUUCUGGCUCAAUUUAUUUCACUAAAAUUAUCGAGUAGAUGUUAGAU